ACGUGCUCUUAGACUCUUCACACUGCAAAUGCGUGUCCAACCGCAUCAUAUCACUUAUGUAAACAACAUUUCUCAGAAAAUGGCUCAUUUGAGCUCUAAUUAAUUUCAGAUGACAAAAAAAA
rnacentral:sRNA from 1 species